ensembl:rRNA 5S_rRNA 5S ribosomal RNA
GUCUACUGCCAUGCCAUCUCGCAUGUGCCCAAUCUCAUCUGAUCUCAGAAGUUCAGCAGGGUUAGGUCUGGUUAGUACUGGAUGGGAGAGCGCGUCUUCUUGGCCUGUUGCAGUGGCUC